CAGGAAAUAGUUUAUUUUAGAAAAUAUUAAUUUUGGAGAUUAAAGAAGAUAAUAUCUUUUCUGA
rnacentral:tRNA from 1 species